rnacentral:rRNA from 1 species
GACGAACGCUGGCGGCGUGCUUAACACAUGCAAGUCGAACGGAAAGGCCCUGCUUUUGUGGGGUGCUCGAGUGGCGAACGGGUGAGUAACACGUGAGUAACCUGCCCUUGACUUUGGGAUAACUUCAGGAAACUGGGGCUAAUACCGGAUAGGAGCUCCUGCUGCAUAGUGGGGGUUGGAAAGUUUCGGCGGUUGGGGCUGGACUCGCGGCUUAUCAGCUUGUUGGUGGGGUAGUGGCUUACCAAGGCUUUGACGGGUAGCCGGCCUGGGAGGGUGGCCGGCCACAUUGGGACUGAGAUACGGCCCAGACUCCUACGGGAGGCAGCAGUGGGGAAUAUUGCACAAUGGGCGGAAGCCUGAUGCAGCAACGCCGCGUGCGGGAUGACGGCCUUCGGGUUGUAAACCGCUUUCGCCUGUGACGAAGCGUGAGUGACGGUAAUGGGUAAAGAAGCACCGGCUAACUACGUG